UAAUUAGAGAUCAGUGCAGGAGAGGAGGGACUAUGUCCGCAAAUACCCCCCAAAGACAUGAAUCUGGAUGCAUCUGGGUAAGGUCAUCAAUCAUCUGCCAUUUAAAAUCACAACUAAAACCUAGCCUUCAUUUCCUCUCAUUCGGCCAAAUCUAAACCCCAGUCCCUUUGUUUCUACCUCAACCGUUCCUAAAAUUCCUUUAUUCAAACUCCAAUCAACCUCCAUGAACAGCGAUUGGUUCAUUCAAGCCUUGAAGGGUGUUUUUUAGCCUCAAGAUCCCCUUAAACUUCGAUUUCGACAAAGCAAGAGUGCACCAAUGGCCAAAUCACAAGGUAUCGUCCCCUUUCUCCUUUUUUCCACCUUGGCCGACUAAUUCCCUUUUGCCUAAACUCCAAUCGGCUACCACAGUAGCAUAUUCAAGCCUUGAUGAUUAUUUUUUAGCCUUGAGAUCCCCUCUUAGCUUCGAUUUUAACAAAGCAAAAGGGAACUCAUGGCAUUCACGUAAGUUGUGCAUGGCGUGGAGAGGAGGCUACGCACGCAUGGAAGCUUCAGCGCGUGGGAACGGUGGCUGGGGACUCUGCAGAAGCUGCUGGUGUAUGUUGCAGCACUAGGCAGUAGGCUAGGAAUUUGUUGUUUUAGGCCAUGUAUUUUGUUGGGUCUAUUAUUUUUUGUUGUUGGGCUAUGGACAUUGGACUUUAUUAUUUUGGUUUUGUUAUAUUUUUUUUAUUUUGGUAUAA